UACAUGCUUGAUAGGCCAGUAAGAGAAAACUGUGCACGUGGAAGAUGAAUGUAUCAGAGUAACCAAAGAGAGGACAACAGGAACAUUGUAUUUAAUGGCAAUAUCAAUCAUGAAACAGUGAUCUGCACGAUUGAAGAGCUUUGAAAGACACCUUGUCUAGAAAUCAGACCUUGCACAUAAAGGCUUUCAGAUGACACUGCAUCGUGUCUUGAGGAAGGGCUGCUUCUGCACUGGAGUGAAGAUCUGAAUUACAGUAAGAUGACUCUAUCUUCCAUCACAACUGGCUGUCAACUGUCUUGAAAGCAAUGAACUACUUCCCAGCGUGCCAAGCUGAAACUUCUUUCAGACAAGCUACCGGGGGGAAGGACAUCUACUGAAGAAUGAAAAUUUUGAUUUAUCCAUCCUUGCAGUCUCAAAAGUGGAAGAGGAGCUUUUUGAGAAACCUAAUGGUGUAUGUGCAGCUGUAUAUAUUCUCAGCAUAUACUAGGCCUGAUCAAAAGUCUGAGCUCUUCUGAACAAGACUAAUGUUGGGAUCUGCAGCCCUCUCAGAAGAGGAGCAAAUCUGAUGGACCAGCCAAUACAAGAUCAGCCCUGAAGCCACAGACCCUGUUCAGACCCUGAAUUGCUCAUCAUUUCCAGAUUCAUCUCCAGCAGCUCUCCAUCUGUUUCCAGGCUGUUUUCUAAACCAGUGUGAUGCCUCAGGUGCAGAAGAGAGAGACAAUAAUUAACAAUGUGGCCUACAGCAUCUUGGGGAACAAUUAAUUUUAGUGAAUGGACAGGGGAAGGAAGAAGGAAGGUCUCUGGAGGCUGUACCUACACGUGCAAGAAGUUCAGUGCCAUAGGAGGAGAUCCAGCUGAUGCUGAGGACUCACUGAGGGCAAUUUUUUUCCCAUUUCAGGUUUGUUGGCUCCAGCUGAAGCACUUGCAGAAUAAAGUACACACCAGUGUGACAGAAGAUGACAAAACUGAGAUCUUUACUUCUCUCUCCCUCCUUAAGCCAGGGUGAAUGUGCCCUGGACUCCACAGACUGACUCCAUGCCAUGAGGACAUAUGUUUGUGUAUAUAAGAGCACAGUGCAGAAUCAUUUCGGGGAGAAGAGGAAGAAAAUAAUAAUUCUGACGCCAAGUCUUGUUAAUGUCGACCCUCAAAAGUGUCAGUGAUCUCUGAGCAUGUGGGAGCAAGGAAUAGCGAAGGCACCCAUCCCCUGGCUCUCUGCAGUUUGCUGCUGGCCUCCCAGUGACCCCCAGGCUGUCCAGGCCCCUUCCGGUACUGGAAGACUUCUGCAAGGUCUCCUGGAGCCUUCUUCAGGGUGAACAACCUCAACUCUCAGCUUUUCUUCAUAGGAGAGGUUCCCCAACCUUCUGAUCGUCUUCAUGGCCUCCUCUGGACUCUCUCUAACAGGUCCACAUCCUUAUGUUGGGGGUUCCAGAGCUGGAUGCAGUACUCGAGUUUAGAUUUCAAGAGAAUGACACCAGCCAAAUGGGGUUGGCCUUUGUAAACUGAUCUGUUGGGAAGGCUCGCUUGGAAAGACAAGUGCAAUGACUAUUUCUCAAACCAAGGGGCUGUGCAAGAAUUCUCAUGGUAGACAAAUCCAACACCUUACACAGAAAAUAGGAGUCAAGUUGAAUGAGAAGAUGGGAUGGAUUGUGGUGAUCAGAUUCAGACAUUGAUUAUUGCUUAAGACACCAUCUCUUUGAAGAGUAUAUUAUGCAAUAAUACAAUAAUGAUCCAUUUCAGAGCCCGCAAUGAAAAUGAGCAGCAAUAACGCAGCAAUUACCAACUCCCAUGGGCUGACACAAUCACCUCCACAAACCAGCCAUCAAUCACAAGCCACCAAAAAGUCAGGAGUGCAGAGCCAGGCCCUCGGGUGCUGCUGUGAGUGCUCUUUGCAGGGCACUUGUGGCCCCCACCUCGCUGGUAAAAAGGGGCCUCCUUGCAGGGAGUACGUUCCUCUGAGGGGAGGGGCUUCAGCAUCCCUCAGCCUCUCCAGCGCAACCCAGCUUCCUGUGCCAGCUUCAUCAGGACAGAAGUGGCAGGAGCAAUGUGGCCACCUACAAGGUUCUGCAGCCAAAACAACAAAGCCUGCUACAGAAUUGCUUUUUGUUGGACAUAUUGUUGCUGUGAGAAUGUGCCAUCUACUGCUUCAGGACUGUUGUGUUUUACUACAGGCUCCCUGGCUGAAACCUACAAACCCUCCAACAUUUUUUUCCUGUCUUUGCAUUGGGAACAGGUGCUCAGAUAGGGAGCUGUGCUGCCCUCCUACUGGGAAUCAUGUAGCAGCCACCCCUGCCCAUCUCCCCAUCUCAGUUUCCUUCCUGAGUUUUGUCUGACAUGCAUCAGAUGCUGUAAUUGCACAUUUCUCUCAGCUGUGCAUUACUGGAGCAGUUCCAGGUCUGUAACUGUGUUGCUGGGUGGGUCAGGAGGAAGGAAUAAGCAGGCAGGGAGGGGCUCUCCAGCUUGGCAAACCAGGGUCCCAUGGGCUGUGGGAGAACCCAGCUGAAGUCUGAUCUCCCCUCAACAUACAGCAACCCAGAACUACUGGCACUGCUGCAAAGUCCACUUUUGGGCUUACAGCAGCUGCAUAUCCCAGCAUUUUCAGAAGUCCUCAUCUGAGUCUGGUUUGAACUAUCUCCCCUGGGCAGCCAGGUGAAGAAAAAUAAUGAUUUCUCCUAACCAGAGAGGAUGAUAGGAAGUGGCCUCAAGUUGUUCCAGGAGAGAUAUAGAUGGGAUAUCAGGAAAAAUUUUUUCACCAGAGGAGUUUUCAAGCACUGGAACAGGCUGCUGAGGGAAGUGGUGGAAUCACCAUCCCUGGAGGUAUUUAAAAGACAUGCAGAUGUUGGUAUUUAGGGACAGGGCUUAGUGGUGCACUUGUCAGUGCUGUGUUUACCAUCCUACUCGAUGGUCUUUGAGGUCUUUUCAGUCCUAAAUGAUUCCAUGAUUCUAUGAAAUGGUUCGUGUCUUGCUUCCUUCUGUGGGUAGACCAAAAAACCCGCACAAGCUUAGUGUCAAGCAUCCAUCUCACUUAAUGAGUAAUUUUGAAUUUCAAAAUUAAUUACACAUGGGGAAUGAAACCAGAGCAAAAAGGGAGUCAAAAAAUGCUGCAAAUUUUGAAUAGAAGCACCAUAGAGUCAUUUCUUUGCAGUACUGCAAGAACCUACUGUUACAAACCUACUUGAAAGCUCUACCACUUGGGUUGGAAACAACGUGGUGGGGGGAUUUUUUUCCUCUGAUGCUGACUCAUUUUUAAUUACCUUUUGCUCCCUAAUAAAUUUAGAACACUUAAAUUGAAAAUAGCUUUGAUCCACAGCCCCCACUUAUUAUCAGAAAUCUGUGUGCAAUUGCACCCAGUGUUUCAGUUUGCAUAACUUUUUUGUGACGCUAUUAAAGCUGCUUGCAUAAUAAAAUUAAAUGCAGUUUACAUUUA